CCGCACGCGCGCUACACUGACGGAGCCAGCGAGUACUUCCUUGGCCGAAAGGCCCGGGUAAUCUUGUUAAACUCCGUCGUGCUGGGGAUAGAGCAUUGCAAUUAUUGCUCUUCAACGAGGAAUCCCUAGUAAGCGCAAGUCAUCAGCUUGCGUUGAUUACGUCCCUGCCCUUUGUACACACCGCCCGUCGCUACUACCGAUUGAAUGGCUCAGUGAGGCGUCCGGACUGGCCCAGGGAGGUGGGCAACUACCACCCAGGGCCGGAAAGCUCUCCAAACUCGGUCAUUUAGAGGAAGUAAAAGUCGUAACAAGGUCUCCGUUGGUGAACCAGCGGAGGGAUCAUUACCGAGUUUACAACUCCCAAACCCAUGUGAACAUUACCUCUAUGUUGCUUCGGCGGAGCCGCCCCGGCGCCCGGAACCCCCUGCGGUCCCGCGGCCCGGAACCAAGGCGCCCGCCGGAGCCACAAACUCUUCUGUUUUUACAGUUUCUUCUGAGUGUGCCGCAAGGCAGUAUACAAAUGAAUCAAAACUUUCAACAACGGAUCUCUUGGUUCUGGCAUCGAUGAAGAACGCAGCGAAAUGCGAUAAGUAAUGUGAAUUGCAGAAUUCAGUGAAUCAUCGAAUCUUUGAACGCACAUUGCGCCCGCCAGAAUUCUGGCGGGCAUGCCUGUUCGAGCGUCAUUUCAACCCUCGAGCUCCCCUUUCGGGGGGAGCCCGGCGUUGGGGAACCGGCGCUAACAACGCCGGCCCCGAAAUGGAGUGGGGGGCCGUCCGCGGCGAACUCUGCGUAGUAACAACCACUCCACCGGGACCCGGGGGCGGGCCCCCCGUAAAAAACCCCCCCUUCCGAAGGUUGACCUCCAAUCAGGGAGGAAAACCCCCUGAACUUUAGCAUUUCAUUAGCGGGAGGAAAAGAAACCAAAAGGGGAUUGCCCCCUAACGGCGAGGGAAGGGGCCACC
rnacentral:rRNA from 1 species